CAGUCCCGCGGUAAUACGGAGGGCGCGAGCGUUACCCGGAUUUACUGGGCGUAAAGGGCGUGUAGGCGGCCUGGGGCGUCCCAUGUGAAAGGCCACGGCUCAACCGUGGAGGAGCGUGGGAUACGCUCAGGCUAGAGGGUGGGAGAGGGUGGUGGAAUUCCCGGAGUAGCGGUGAAAUGCGCAGAUACCGGGAGGAACGCCGAUGGCGAAGGCAGCCACCUGGUCCACUUCUGACGCUGAGGCGCGAAAGCGUGGGGAGCAAACCGGAUUAGAUACCCGCGUAGUCCCUGUCUCUUAUACA
rnacentral:rRNA from 1 species